rnacentral:rRNA from 1 species
GAAACAUCUAAGUAGCCGGAGUAAAAGAAAUCAACCGAGAUUCCCAAAGUAGUGGCGAGCGAAAUGGGAACAGCCUGCAAGUGAUAGCGAUUGCGUUAGCGGAAGUCUCUGGAAAGUGGCGCCGUAGUGGGUGACAGCCCCGUAUGGGAAGUUUGAUCGGACGUAUUAAGUAGGGCGGGACACGUGAAAUCCUGUCUGAAGAUCGGGGGACCACCCUCGAAGGCUAAGUACUCCUUACUGACCGAUAGCGAACCAGUACCGUGAGGGAAAGGUGAAAAGCACCCCGACGAGGGGAGUGAAACAGUUUCUGAAACCGGACGCCUACAAGCAGUCGGAGCCUCCUUGAGAGGUGACGGCGUACCUUUUGUAUAAUGGGGUCAACGACUUGGUCUAUCUAGCAAGCUUAAGCCGGUAGGUGUAGGCGCAGCGAAAGCGAGUCUUAAAUGGGCGACUUAGUUAGAUGGAUCAGACCCGAAACCAGAUGAUCUAGGCAUGAGCAG